rnacentral:rRNA from 1 species
UGGGGAAUAUUGCACAAUGGGGGAAACCCUGAUGCAGCGACGCCGCGUGGAGGAAGAAGGUCUUCGGAUUGUAAACUCCUGUUGUUGGGGAAGACAAUGACGGUACCCAACAAGGAAGUGACGGCUAACUACGUGCCAGCAGCCGCGGUAAAACGUAGGUCACAAGCGUUGUCCGGAAUUACUGGGUGUAAAGGGAGCGCAGGCGGGUGAUCAAGUUGGAAGUGAAAUCCAUGGGCUCAACCCAUGAACUGCUUUCAAAACUGAUUGUCUUGAGUAGUGCAGAGGUAGGCGGAAUUCCCGGUGUAGCGGUGGAAUGCGUAGAUAUCGGGAGGAACACCAGUGGCGAAGGCGGCCUACUGGGCACCAACUGACGCUGAGGCUCGAAAGUGUGGGUAGCAAACAGGAUUAGAUACCCUGGUAGUCCACACCGUAAACGAUGAUUACUAGGUGUUGGAGGAUUGACCCCUUCAGUGCCGCAGUUAACACAAUAAGUAAUCCACCUGGGGAGUACGACCGCAAGAAUGAAACUCAAAGGAAUUGACGGGGGCCCGCACAAGCAGUGGAGUAUGUGGUUUAAUUCGACGCAACGCGAAGAACCUUACCAAGUCUUGACAUCCUGCGACGAACGUAGAAAUACGUUUUUCCUUCGGGACGCAGAGACAGGUGGUGCAUGGUUGUCGUCAGCUCGUGUCGUGAGAUGUUGGGUUAAGUCCCGCAACGAGCGCAACCCUUAUGGUCAGUUACUACGCAAGAGGACUCUGGCCAGACUGCCGUUGACAAAACGGAGGAAGGUGGGGAUGACGUCAAAUCAUCAUGCCCUUUAUGACUUGGGCUACACACGUACUACAAUGGCGUUAAACAAAGAGAAGCAAGACCGCGAGGUGGAGCAAAACUCAGAAACAACGUCCCAGUUCGGACUGCAGGCUGCAACUCGCCUGCACGAAGUCGGAAUUGCUAGUAAUCGCAGAUCAGCAUGCUGCGGUGAAUACGUUCCC